AUCUAUGUCCAUGCCACUCUGAACGCUCCUAAUCUUGUCUGAUCUUGGAAGCUAAGCAGAGUUGGGCCUGGUUAGUACUUGGGUGGAAGACUAUUUGGGAAUGCUGGAUGCUGUAGGCU
rnacentral:rRNA from 1 species